CAGAGAAGGUUUGUGUUGCAGCCAGUGAACGCUGCUAAAAGGGCAUCGAAUGCUUUUUCCGUUGUCAUUAAUUGAGUGAAGAGAAAACAGACUCUGCUGCUGUCAUAUCACGUCAAAAUAAUUAGCUCUGCUAUAAAUAGCAUGGCUUACUCACUUGUUUCUUUUGCUUUAAGGUCAGGGCUGCAGCCGGACGGAGCAGCACACUGCAGAGCCACAGCACUCUGUGAUCCCACGGCCACGCACUUCCAUCACAUUCACACCAGCCAGCACUCAUGUUCGGAUAAGAAGAGAGGAAAAAGUCCUUGCUGAAGCCCACAGCAGAUCCCUAGGAGCAGUUCUGCACGCUUGCAAUGGUUCAAGCCCAAGGUCCGAAGCACUUACAUCAAACACUCCAGAGCAGCCUCGAGACACAGGAGAACCUUCUACAGUCUUUUUACAGCUGAAAUGAGUUCCUGCUGGAGCUCAGGAUUCAAAGUGCCCUCCCAAAUGAUGCUCUGUGCACCCACGGCUUCAGAUGUGGCUACAGCCGCUCCCCCUGAGACGUGUGAAUAAUGAAUGCAGUUGUGUAGUGGGAUCACUCAGGACACGCACAGCACUGAGCUGCUGCUCAGAUUCACUGCUCUCCAGCUCAGCCCUGCAGCCCACCCUGGGCCACGCUCCCUGCUCAGGCCCUGCUCCGGGUUUCUCAGGGCUUUGCAAAGUCCCAGAUGCCCAUGAGCUGAUGGCAGGUCCCUGAGGUGCACAGCACCAUGCUUGCAUUAAAUUUGCACAAAAUAAACUCGCUGUACCAACAACCCAGUGAAGUAUGGGGCUUCGUAUUUUACAUGAAUGCUAGCCUGCAGCUAAUUUCAUUUUCUGCUCUGUUGUAGAAUUGGAAGGUAAUGACUCUCUCUCAAAAAUACAAUUAAAAUGAUUUGCCUAUGACUUUGACUGCAACGUACAUCUUAUGGAAGGAGCCCAGAGUAAAAGCUGGGCCGUGGGCUGAGUCCUGCCUGGUUGCAAUUAGGAACAGAACAGCCCCAUGACACGAAAUCUGAUGAUACAAUGAACUUCUGACCCACAGCAGAAAUCCGACCGCCACAGCCCAGCUCCUCCAGUGCAGCUCUGCAGGAAAGCAGAAGUCCUCACUCAAUGUUCAGUUUUCCUCAGCCUUCACCAGUGGAAUUUUUAUAUGAUGUGAAUUAAAUAUGGCAAACUUUGC